rnacentral:tmRNA from 1 species
GGGGACGAACGGCUUGAUGGAAAACGUACCGAAUAAUGCAGGCGAGCAUUAUAGUUGUCUCGUAAAACCACCUAUAAAAACAAAUAAGUGCCAACUUAUUUGAAAAAGCCAAGGGAGCGUUAGCCCAGGUUUUCCAGGGCUUUCAGCCCUUGGUUCCUGCUUACGCCUAAUUCGUAAGCCAUCCUUUCUGCUGACUUCCGCUAGGCAGGAAAGGGUGUUAUAUCAGCGGGAUAGAUAAUUCUUUUUGCGGUUCAAAAAAGAAUUAUCGAAACCUUAAAAGAACCGGGUUCCGAAAAUUUUGUCCAUUUUUUAUUUCGGGACUUAUUAAGAAAUGGACUAACCUGUAGAAAUUAUUCGGGAAGUUUUUCAGACGAGGGUUCAAUCCCCUCCGUCUCCACCU